AGUGAACGCUGGCGGUAGGCCUAACACAUGCAAGUCGAACGGCAGCACAGUAAGAGCUUGCUCUUACGGGUGGCGAGUGGCGGACGGGUGAGGAAGACAUCGGAAUCUACUUUUUCGUGGGGGAUAACGUAGGGAAACUUACGCUAAUACCGCAUACGACCUACGGGUGAAAGCAGGGGAUCUUCGGACCUUGCGCGAUUGAAUGAGCCGAUGUCGGAUUAGCUAGUUGGCGGGGUAAAGGCCCACCAAGGCGACGAUCCGUAGCUGGUCUGAGAGGAUGAUCGGCCACACUGGAGCUGAGACACGCUCCCGACUCCUACGGGACGCCGCAGUGGGGAAUAUUGGACAAUGGGCGCAAGCCUGAUCCAGCCAUCCCGCGUGGGUGAAGAAGGCCUUCGGGUUGUAAAGCCCUUUUGUUGGGAAAGAAAAGCAGCAGGUUAAUACCCCGCUGUUCUGACGGUACCCAAAGAAUAAGCACCGGCUAACUUCGU
rnacentral:rRNA from 1 species